rnacentral:rRNA from 1 species
GCCGGAGGAUGCAAGUGUUAUCCGGAAUCACUGGGCGUAAAGCGUCUGUAGGUGGUCAAAUAAGUCAACUGUUAAAUCUUGAGGCUUAACCUCAAAAUCGCAGUCGAAACUAUUAGACUAGAGUAUAGUAGGGGUAAAGGGAAUUUCCAGUGGAGCGGUGAAAUGCGUAGAGAUUGGAAAGAACACCGAUGGCGAAGGCACUUUACUGGGAUAUUACUGACGCUCAGAGACGAAAGCUAGGGUAGCAAAUGGG